rnacentral:rRNA from 2 species
UUAAGCGACUAAGCGUACACGGUGGAUGCCCUGGCAGUCAGAGGCGAUGAAGGACGUGCUAAUCUGCGAUAAGCGUCGGUGAGGUGAUAUGAACCGUUAUAACCGGCGAUUUCCGAAUGGGGAAACCCAGUGUGUUUCGACACACUAUCAUUAACUGAAUCCAUAGGUUAAUGAGGCGAACCGGGGGAACUGAAACAUCUAAGUACCCCGAGGAAAAGAAAUCAACCGAGAUUCCCCCAGUAGCGGCGAGCGAACGGGGAGGAGCCCAGAGCCUGAAUCAGUGUGUGUGUUAGUGGAAGCGUCUGGAAAGGCGUGCGAUACAGGGUGACAGCCCCGUACACAAAAAUGCACAUAUUGUGAGCUCGAUGAGUAGGGCGGGACACGUGGUAUCCUGUCUGAAUAUGGGGGGACCAUCCUCCAAGGCUAAAUACUCCUGACUGACCGAUAGUGAACCAGUACCGUGAGGGAAAGGCGAAAAGAACCCCGGCGAGGGGAGUGAAAAAGAACCUGAAACCGUGUACGUACAAGCAGUGGGAGCCUCUUAAUGGGGUGACUGCGUACCUUUUGUAUAAUGGGUCAGCGACUUAUAUUCUGUAGCAAGGUUAACCGAAUAGGGGAGCCGAAGGGAAACCGAGUCUUAACUGGGCGUUAAGUUGCAGGGUAUAGACCCGAAACCCGGUGAUCUAGCCAUGGGCAGGUUGAAGGUUGGGUAACACUAACUGGAGGACCGAACCGACUAAUGUUGAAAAAUUAGCGGAUGACUUGUGGCUGGGGGGGAAAGGCCAAUCAAACCGGGAGAUAGCUGGUUCUCCCCGAAAGCUAUUUAGGUAGCGCCUCGUGAAUUCAUCUCCGGGGGUAGAGCACUGUUUCGGCAAGGGGGUCAUCCCGACUUACCAACCCGAUGCAAACUGCGAAUACCGGAGAAUGUUAUCACGGGAGACACACGGCGGGUGCUAACGUCCGUCGUGAAGAGGGAAACAACCCAGACCGCCAGCUAAGGUCCCAAAGUCAUGGUUAAGUGGGAAACGAUGUGGGAAGGCCCAGACAGCCAGGAUGUUGGCUUAGAAGCAGCCAUCAUUUAAAGAAAGCGUAAUAGCUCACUGGUCGAGUCGGCCUGCGCGGAAGAUGUAACGGGGCUAAACCAUGCACCGAAGCUGCGGCAGCGACACUAUGUGUUGUUGGGUAGGGGAGCGUUCUGUAAGCCUGUGAAGGUGGCCUGUGAGGGUUGCUGGAGGUAUCAGAAGUGCGAAUGCUGACAUAAGUAACGAUAAAGCGGGUGAAAAGCCCGCUCGCCGGAAGACCAAGGGUUCCUGUCCAACGUUAAUCGGGGCAGGGUGAGUCGACCCCUAAGGCGAGGCCGAAAGGCGUAGUCGAUGGGAAACAGGUUAAUAUUCCUGUACUUGGUGUUACUGCGAAGGGGGGACGGAGAAGGCUAUGUUGGCCGGGCGACGGUUGUCCCGGUUUAAGCGUGUAGGCUGGUUUUCCAGGCAAAUCCGGAAAACCAAGGCUGAGGCGUGAUGACGAGGCACUACGGUGCUGAAGUGACAAAUGCCCUGCUUCCAGGAAAAGCCUCUAAGCAUCAGGUAACAUCAAAUCGUACCCCAAACCGACACAGGUGGUCAGGUAGAGAAUACCAAGGCGCUUGAGAGAACUCGGGUGAAGGAACUAGGCAAAAUGGUGCCGUAACUUCGGGAGAAGGCACGCUGAUAUGUAGGUGAAGCGACUUGCUCGUGGAGCUGAAAUCAGUCGAAGAUACCAGCUGGCUGCAACUGUUUAUUAAAAACACAGCACUGUGCAAACACGAAAGUGGACGUAUACGGUGUGACGCCUGCCCGGUGCCGGAAGGUUAAUUGAUGGGGUUAGCGGCAACGCGAAGCUCUUGAUCGAAGCCCCGGUAAACGGCGGCCGUAACUAUAACGGUCCUAAGGUAGCGAAAUUCCUUGUCGGGUAAGUUCCGACCUGCACGAAUGGCGUAAUGAUGGCCAGGCUGUCUCCACCCGAGACUCAGUGAAAUUGAACUCGCUGUGAAGAUGCAGUGUACCCGCGGCAAGACGGAAAGACCCCGUGAACCUUUACUAUAGCUUGACACUGAACAUUGAGCCUUGAUGUGUAGGAUAGGUGGGAGGCUUUGAAGUGUGGACGCCAGUCUGCAUGGAGCCGACCUUGAAAUACCACCCUUUAAUGUUUGAUGUUCUAACGUUGGCCCGUAAUCCGGGUUGCGGACAGUGUCUGGUGGGUAGUUUGACUGGGGCGGUCUCCUCCUAAAGAGUAACGGAGGAGCACGAAGGUUGGCUAAUCCUGGUCGGACAUCAGGAGGUUAGUGCAAUGGCAUAAGCCAGCUUGACUGCGAGCGUGACGGCGCGAGCAGGUGCGAAAGCAGGUCAUAGUGAUCCGGUGGUUCUGAAUGGAAGGGCCAUCGCUCAACGGAUAAAAGGUACUCCGGGGAUAACAGGCUGAUACCGCCCAAGAGUUCAUAUCGACGGCGGUGUUUGGCACCUCGAUGUCGGCUCAUCACAUCCUGGGGCUGAAGUAGGUCCCAAGGGUAUGGCUGUUCGCCAUUUAAAGUGGUACGCGAGCUGGGUUUAGAACGUCGUGAGACAGUUCGGUCCCUAUCUGCCGUGGGCGCUGGAGAACUGAGGGGGGCUGCUCCUAGUACGAGAGGACCGGAGUGGACGCAUCACUGGUGUUCGGGUUGUCAUGCCAAUGGCACUGCCCGGUAGCUAAAUGCGGAAGAGAUAAGUGCUGAAAGCAUCUAAGCACGAAACUUGCCCCGAGAUGAGUUCUCCCUGACUCCUUGAGGGUCCUGAAGGAACGUUGAAGACGACGACGUUGAUAGGCCGGGUGUGUAAGCGCAGCGAUGCGUUGAGCUAACCGGUACUAAUGAACCGUGAGGCUUAACCUU